AGCGGAUGCUGCUGUGUCAGAUGUAACUUGCAGGAUGGUGUGUCCCCGCACAUGGAGGGUCAUUGCAGCCCCGUGGGCCCUGUGUGUCACUGCAGAAGGUGGGAGGCGACGCACAAGGUGAUGCAUGCUUCCGGGGGCGGGCUGGCCUCCGAGUGACUGUCUCCUGUCUUAGCCACGAUCCAUAGCAGCCCAGGGCACCCGGAGUCCCGGCCAGGGUCUGGCCCCACCUGCUGAUGUGGUGACCGUGACGCGCAGUUGGCCGUCCUGAGCACUGGUCCUCGUCUGGAAAAGGAGAUGGGGGGCGGCUGGAAGAAUGACGCGGAGAGAGCAGACGCACCAACCCUCGUGUGGCGUUCACGCUUCAGACACGUGGUUCAAUCUCUGAGCUCCUUGUAGGUGGGGUCACCGCCCCCAUCUUGCAGAGGCCGCCCGGGGCAUGCGUCCCUUCAGGCCCCCCAGCUCUCACGGGGACCCCGAGGAAGAAGAUGAGAGUGAAGCGGCUGCGUUCGCCAGUUCUGGACGUCGGCACGCGGUGUCCGCGGCUCACGUGGGAGGGAAGGAGGCAGACGCGUGCGAAGAGAAAACGAAGGACCUUCCUCCAGCCGGGGCCCAGAGGAGGGGAAAUUCCCGGGAAAGGAUGCAGCUUCCGGGGUGGAGGAAGCUGGCCCCUGACCUGGGGACCUUGAAGGGGUCCUUUGUGUAGAGCUGACUCCAGGGUGCUCGUCUGCUGGGUCUCUCUGCACAGGACACCGGCUGCUGGAGACCUCGUCCUCCCAGGGUCCCUGUGGACGGGUCUUCAUGUGGCUCCAUCCCAGGGGCCCCUUGUCCUCCCACGUGGGCCCCGGGGAGCCUCCUUGCUGUCGACUGGAGGCUGGGGCUGCUGUGGUAUUUGUCCUCUGUCCCCGGUCGUGGGACACAGCCCUCUGGGGGACCCUGAGCCCCAGCACAGGGCGCGGUGUGGGCAGGUGAGGGAGCCGCACCUCAGUGGCCAGAAUCCUGUAUUCUCCCCACUCCAGGCGCUUUCUGCUCUCAUGCGGGGGCAAGGGGGCUGGUUUUCCUCCAUCUCUUUCAUCGAUUCUUUUCAUGUCAAAAGGGCUCCAGCCUUGGGAUGUCACAGCUCUUGGGUUCGGGUGGAACCGUCAAUCGUAGCAGUCCACUGCGGUGUGUUGGCGUGGGAGCAAACCCGGGGAUGCUCGAACCCGCCAGGCUGUCCUCCGGGUGGCGGGAACGAGGUCGGCUGGUCCCUUUAAUUGAGCGUUUCAAUGGUUUAAGCUAUGCCUCCCUGAACUCUUACACCGAGGAGGAGAAGAUGGUUCAGGGCGGGGCCGAACGCCCACCCUGCCCGCACGCCCUGCCCUCAUUGUGGACCAAGUAGAUGCAAGCUGCUUUAAAAUAAACCAGAAAGUUCUGAGUUGGACAGAAGGUUGAAAUUCGUGGCUCUUGUGGUACCACGUUUGGGGACGUGGGCAACGGUGGCCACAUACUGGAAGGGACCUGUGAUUUCUGCUCGGGCCGGGCCGGAGCGCCCCCUCACAGCCUGGCUGUGGUCUGCGUUCACAGAAGGAAAUGCUGACGACGAGGUUUGACUUUCCCACCCAAGGUCACAGGCCCCGGGGCGAGGUGGUAUCCCAGUGAUGUCACGGCUGGAUUCUUCCGUAUCUUCGCUGAGUUAGAAGAUCGCAGGUCGCUGAGUUCUGACAUCGGCUGCGGCUGCAGGGGGCUGGCCCUGCGCCCUCUGCCAGGAGGCCUCGCCUGGGUGCCCCGUGGGAAUGGACCUCCCGCUUCCCAGCUCUUACUGCCUUUUCUGUCUGUUCCACCACCGACCCCUCCUCCUUUGUCACAAGCAGGUGUGGGCCUGUGAGCGCCCAAGGGUGUGGAAGGUCUUCUCAAUCCCCAAAAUGAAAUAAAUCCCAGUAAAUGUGGCCCAGUGUGGCCCAAAGCAAG
rnacentral:lncRNA from 1 species